rnacentral:lncRNA from 1 species
UCUUCUCCAAAUUCUCUACGAAUACUCCAAAAGUGGGCAUAAAGUUUCAAGUGCUCUAGUGAGUUUCUAACUCACUUUUUUUCAUCUUUCUUUCCUCAUUUCUUCUUUCAAACUACUUGGAAAACCUCUAGGAAGGUUUCCACAAGUUUGCCAUGGCAAACUAAGGUGGAACCUCACCACAUUUGAAGUCUAAAGUAGCCUUAAAAUUAUGCUUUGUUUCAUCUUUUUAUUUUCUUGUUUAUCUUGCUUAAAACUUGAUGGAAUCUUACACCCACCUUGCUCCCAAUAAACUCAUAGUUGUGGGUUUGUGCUUUGGUUGAUUUCCGCAAGAAAUGAGGCUUAAAACCUCCCAAAAAAAUCUGCCCUAAAGUCCCAAGUGACUUCAGAAGUGUUGAAGCUCAACCAAGCUUUCAACUUUCAAUGUUAAACGACUUGUUUUGAGCUAGGUGUGACCAAUGGAAGCCUUGGCUUUCCAGCUGUGUUCCACUACCUCAGUUGUUAGAUUAUUAACUUAGCUUCAUACCACUAAAUCUCACAACAAUUUCUAAACAAAGGGACAAGGCUACAUCACGCCCUGAACACUCUCCACGUUUGGGAUGCACGCAUCUAGCUAGUUCACUUGGUUGUUUUUAGAUCUAGUAGUUUUAUGUUCUUAUCUUCACAUUCAUGAUUAACCAAAAUCAUCAACAAAGUUGAUGAUUUUGUGCUUUGGUGAAUCAUAUAAUGAGUUUUAAUGGAUGCAAAUGAUCCUACAUCCUUGCCUGACCAUUCUCAUGGGUAACUUCGGUGUUCUAAACUCAAGAAUUGUCAAACUCACGUUCAUGGACUUUCUAUGCAAACUGUGAGUAUACUCGGUCCCAUUUUUCUUUUUACACACUUUGGGUACAACAUGUACAAUAUAUUACAAAUCACAUGCUCACGAUUAAACUUGUUUGCAUACACACUCUAUCCUUAAAAACAUGAUACUUCUUAUAUUCUUGUUAUUACAUGCCAUGCUCAUAUUUGUGUUCUAUAUGCUCAUUAACUUUGCAAACCUACCUCAACAAUUAUAGUGCUAUAGGAUUAAUGCACCGCCCGUAUUCUUGUGUAAUUGUUAAGUAAACUAUUUUAUGACAUUGUCGUUUCGGCGAAAAGGAUAUGCACGAUUGCAGUAUACUUUGGUUUGACUUAAAGUUAACACAUGCUAGUAUGUAAUUAGGCGACGUAUGCAAAUUACCAUGUUGAUUUUAUUUUAAUACAUGUUCGGGAAACUAGCUGAUGACGAUCGAAGAACACACUUAGGGUGGACUAGAAACUCACCUAAACUUUAAACUUAUGUAUUUGUUUCCAAGUUGUUAUGUUUAAUUGUCGUAUGUUGUCCUUUUAUUUUCAAGAAAAUUUAUUUCCCUUUAGUAUGAAAUGAAAAUUGUUAUUUAAAUCUAUUGUCACAAUUAGCAAGUUAUGAUGUCUCAAGCAAUCAUGUUUCCGUCUCACUUCGAUAUUUCCGUCAUUGGUUAGGGUGUGACAAUAUAUGUGUACGAUAAUUAUUAUUCAACUUUAAACACCUAUUUUACACCUAUAUACACUAGAAAAAAAUAUUUAGAACCAUAAUCUUCUUUAAUACACAUUUAUCUACAAUCAUUUAUACACAUUUGUACGUAUAUGUACAUUAUCAAACAUAGAUGUAGAAUACUUAUAUUUCAAUUUUAAACACGUAUAUAUGUACAGUUAAAAAUUGGCAAUAUACACAUUUGUAUUAUCAACUAUACCUAUAUGUAUAUAUCCAAAAAAACAAUCUCACAAAACAAUCUUUGAUUU